ensembl:lncRNA
AUGGCUAAGAGUUCCACUUCAUACCAGGACUAUGGCCUAAGAGGUUCCACUUCCUACCAGGACUAUGGCCUAAGAAGUUCCACUUCCUACGGACUAUGGCCUAAGAGGUUCCACUUCAUACCAGGACUAUGGCCUAAGAGGUUCCACUUCAUACCAGGACUAUGGCCUAAGAGGUUCCACUUCCUACCAGGACUAUGGCCUAAGAGGUUCCAUCACUUCAAGAACGUGUUCCCACCUUUUAUUACAUUCCAGGAAAGAAUGAAAACAUCAUGGAUGAAAAAUGAACAGAUUAGGAAGUAAAGAAUGAAGACAUACAUGGGAAGACAAAGGGAAAUAUGGAUUCCAAUUUGAAACCAGGGAACCACCUAAAGUCAGCUUGAAUGGGGCGGCAGGGUAGCCUAGUGGUUAGAGGUAAAAAAAAAAAUGUUUAACUGAGUGGAAGUGGAAGCUAUCAACCCUUAAGAAGAGAGAUAUUCAGGCCCCUUCUUCUCUUCCCUUUAAAAUCAGGUCUGAUUCCACAGUAAUACAGCAGCCAUUUAAAUCACCCUUCCAUUUACAGCCCUGCUCCUAGCCCUCUGAGGCCCAGCCCCUGGGGGCGGAGGUCAGGCAGAAACACAAUGCAUGCACCCUCUUCCCUUUUAUAGCCAACUCCUUUUGGCCAUCAGUGCACUAUAUUACACCCUACAUAGGAAAUAAGAGUGACAUUUGGGACGCACAAACACUAAAUCAAAGUAGUGCACUACUUUAGACCUUAUUCCCUAUGUAGUGCACUACUUUAGACCCUAUUCCCUAUGUAGUGCACUACUUUAGACCCUAUUCCCUAUGUAGUGCACUACUUUAGACCCUAUUCCCUAUGUAGUGCACUACUUUUGACCGGGGCCCAAUAGGGUCGUCUGAGAGCCCAUAGUGCUGUGGUCAAAAGUAGUGGACGAGGCCAGAGUGCUUGCUACCCUAUUGACCUUCAGAGUGAUAGCCUGUUGAUUCCACAGGAGGAUUCCAAAUGAUAUGAGUAUGCAGAGACACACAUAUCAGGGAUUCCUCAAAUGCAAACAGCAGCAGCUCUCACUCAAUAGGUCAGCAUCAUUACUGCUGGUAUUCAUAGUGAAUGUUGUAUUAUGACUAUUUGGUUUGGCACAUACUAGACACCUACUGUAGGAUCUUAGCUUGAUCACCCGGUUGGCCACCCUGUCGAUGCAGGAAAUGCUAACUUUAAAAAAAAGUCAGACUUGAUUUACCCUGACUAAAAAUGUCAGACUUGAUUUUCCCUGACUAAAAAUGUCAGACUUGAUUUACCCUGACUAAAAAUGUCAGACUUGAUUUACCCUGAAUGUCAGACUUGAUUUACCCUGACUAAAAAUGUCAGACUUGAUUUACCCUGACUAAAAAUGUCAGACUUGAUUUACCCUGAAUGUCAGACCCUGAAUGUUGAAGAGGCGCUGCUGCGCCUUCCUCACGAUGCUGUCUGUGUGAGUGGACCAAUUCAGUUUGUCUGUGAUGUGUAUGCCGAGGAACUUAAAACUUGCUAACCUCUCCACUACUGUUCCAUCGAUGUGGAUGGGGG